rnacentral:rRNA from 1 species
GACGAACGCUGGCGGCGUGCUUAACACAUGCAAGUCGAACGGAAAGGCCCUGCUUUUGCGGGGUGCUCGAGUGGCGAACGGGUGAGUAACACGUGAGUCACCUGCCCUUGACUUUGGGAUAACUUCAGGAAACUGGGGCUAAUACCGGAUAGGAGCUCCUGCUGCAUGGUGGGGGUUGGAAAGUUUCGGCGGUUGGGGAUGGACUCGCGGCUUAUCAGCUUGUUGGUGGGGUAGUGGCUUACCAAGGCUUUGACGGGUAGCCGGCCUGAGAGGUGGACCGGCGACAUUGGGACUGAGAUACGGCCCAGACUCGUACGGGAGGCAGCAGUGGGGAAUAUUGCACAAUGGGCGGAAGCCUGAUGCAGCAACGCCCCGUGCGGGAUGCCGGCCUUCGGGUUGUAAACCGCUUUCGCCUGUGACGAAGCGUUAGUGACGGUAAUGGGUAAAGAAGCACCGGCUAACUACGUG